rnacentral:rRNA from 1 species
UCGCACGAGAAAGUGGAGCAUCCAUGAGUAAAGUGGCGUACGGGUGAGUAACACGUGGAUCAUCUACCUUUUAGUGGGGAAUACCCCUGGGAAACCGGGGAUAAUACCGCAUAAGCUCGUAAGAGGAAAGCAGCAAUGCGCUGAAAGAGGAGUCCGCGGCUGAUUAGCUAGUUGGUAGGGUAAUGGCCUACCAAGGCUGUGAUCGGUAGCCGGCCUGAGAGGGCACACGGCCACACUGGCACUGAAACACGGGCCAGACUCCUACGGGAGGCAGCAGUGGGGAAUCUUGCACAAUGGGGGAAACCCUGAUGCAGCGACGCCGCGUGAGCGAUGAAGCCCUUCGGGGUGUAAAGCCCUUUCGGCAGGGAAGAUAAUGACGGUACCUGCAGAAGCAGCUGCGGCUAACUACGUGCCAGCAGCCGCGGUAAUACGUAGGCAGCAAGCGUUGUUCGGAGUUACUGGGCGUAAAGGGUGCGUAGGCGGCUCGAUAAGUAUGGUGUGAAAUCUCCCGGCUUAACUGGGAGGGUGCGCUAUAGACUGCCGGGCUAGAGUGUGGGAGAGGAAAGUGGAAUUCCUGGUGUAGCGGUGAAAUGCGUAGAUAUCAGGAGGAACACCGGUGGUGUAAACGGCUUUCUGGACCAUAACUGACGCUGAGGCACGAAAGCGUGGGUAGCAAACAGGAUUAGAUACCCUGGUAGUCCACGCCCUAAACGAUGCAUAUUUUGGUGUGGGUCAUUCAGUUGAUCCGUGCCGGAGCUAACGCGUUAA